rnacentral:misc_RNA from 1 species
GAUGAAGAACGCAGCGAAAUGCGAUAAGUAAUGUGAAUUGCAGAAUUCAGUGAAUCAUCGAAUCUUUGAACGCACAUUGCGCCCGCUAGUAUUCUGGCGGGCAUGCCUGUCCGAGCGUCAUUUCAACCCUCGAGCCCCCCCGGGGGCCUCGGUGUUGGGGGACGGCACACCAGCCGCCCCCGAAAUGCAGUGGCGACCCCGCCGCAGCCUCCCCUGCGUAGUAGCACACACCUCGCACCGGAGCGCGGAGGCGGUCACGCCGUAAAACGCCCAACUUUCUUAGAGUUGACCUCGGAUCAGGUAGGAAUACCCGCUGAACUUAAGCAUAUCAAUAAGCGGAGGA